UCGGGAAUUUUGGGCAAUGGGCGAAAGCCUGACCCAGCAACGCCGCGUGAAGGAUGAAGUAUUUCGGUAUGUAAACUUCGUAAGAAUAGGAAGAAUAAAUGACGGUACUAUUUGUAAGGUCCGGCUAACUACGUGCCAGCAGCCGCGGUAAUACGGAGGGGGCUAGCGUUGUUCGGAAUCAUUGGGCGUAAAGGGCGCGUAGGCGGCCGAUCAAGUCGGAGGUGAAAUCCCUCGGCUCAACUGAGGAAUGGCCUUCGAUACUGUUCGGCUUGAGUCCUGGAGGGGGUAGCGGAAUUCCCGGUGUAGCGGUGAAAUGCGUAGAGACCGGGAAGAACACCAGUGGCGAAGGCGGCUCACUGGCCCGAUACUGACGCUGAGGUGCGAAAGCGUGGGGAGCAAACAGGAUUAGAUACCCAAGUAGUCCCUGAGCGGGCUGGCAAGGCGCAU
rnacentral:rRNA from 1 species